AAGGAAGAUGGACUUCAGAAAAGCAACUAGCACACCAAGCCCCAAUGUUAGGGCCAGAGAUGUGUUGUCUCAGUGGUAGCAGAAGCAAAUGUUAUUAGCUCCACUUUAUAGCUAAGGAAAAUUAAGCCCAGGAAAUGAGUCCAGUGGAAGGAAGGCUUUCAUUCCUUCAUAAAUAUUAAUUCAAUAAUUCAAUAGAGUCUCCAUACCUGCACUGUCUUAGGUGCAGGGAGAUACCAUGAUAAAAGGGCAGACAAUGUUGCUGCCCUCAAGGAGCUGACAUUCUAGUGGAGGAAGACAGAUGCAAAAAGGAAUGUAUGCCCACAUCACACAACUAAAUUGUGGCAUGAUGGAGUUCAACAAAAUAUGGAUACAGAGAGCAAGGUUUGAGGGUAAAUUUAACCAAGGUAGGGUAAUCAGAGGAGCCUGAUCUGAAAAGGCAGGAAUUAAAAUAAGCUCUAAAGGAUUAUUAGAAACUAGGGAGAGAGGAGCUGACUGGUAGAAAUGGGGAGUGUUUCAGGGAGAGCAAAAAGCCCAUUCAAAAACCUCAUGCAAAGAAGAGUUGGGCAAUUUGAAGAAUUGAAAUGAAACUCUAGGACUGGGCACGGAGAAUGUGAAGAAGUGAGGAGGGGUUGGAGCUGGAGAGAUAGGUGGGACUGGAUCCCAUACAACUUGGUUAAUGGGACCUGGACUGGAAAAGGAUUGUUUGUGUGGGAAUCAUUCAUGGCAAAGGCAGUGACACCUCCUUCAAAAACCUGUGUCUUUCUGGCAGAGUGUUGCUGGAGAUGGCCACUGGAGAGGCUGAGUCAAAUCAAUCUCCUCACCUGAGGACUUCCUAAGACCAGCGCACUGAAGGACCAGCAGCAACAACAACAAUAAUGCUAAUGCUCCCUUAUGGACAAGACUGCAAUUCUCUGCCUGCUGAAGCUCAGCUAUGACCACGUGACUUGCCUUGGCCAAUGAAAGAGGAAGAGUAUGUAACACUGCUGAAUGGAAGCAAGUGGCCCCUGCCCCUGCUGCAGAGAUUCUAGACAUGUGUGCCAUGCUGGAGCAAGGAGACAGGGAGUCCUGGAGAAAGGAGACAUGGAACAGAGCUCCCAGCCCAGUCAAUAUGUAACAUGAGUGAGAAAUAAAUAACACUUUGUUGCUAGAA
rnacentral:lncRNA from 1 species